rnacentral:rRNA from 1 species
GACGAACGCUGGCGGCGUGCUUAACACAUGCAAGUCGAACGGAAAGGCCCUGCUUUUGUGGGGUGCUCGAGUGGCGAACGGGUGAGUAACACGUGAGUAACCUGCCCUUGACUUUGGGAUAACUUCAGGAAACUGGGGCUAAUACCGGAUAGGAGCUCCUGCUGCAUGGUGGGGGUUGGAAAGUUACGGCGGUUGGGGAUGGACUCGCGGCUUAUCAGCUUGUUGGUGGGGUAGUGGCCUACCAAGGCUUUGACGGGUAGCCGGCCUGAGAGGGUGACCGGCCACAUUGGGACUGAGAUACGGCCCAGACUCCUACGGGAGGCAGCAGUGGGGAAUAUUGCACAAUGGGCGGAAGCCUGAUGCAGCAACGCCGCGUGCGGGAUGACGGCCUUCGGGUUGUAAACCGCUUUCGCCUGUGACGAAGCGUGAGUGACGGUAAUGGGUAAAGAAGCACCGGCUAACUACGUG